rnacentral:rRNA from 1 species
UACGUAGGUGGCAAGCGUUGUCCGGAAUUAUUGGGCGUAAAGAGCUCGUAGGCGGUCUGUCGCGUCGGAUGUGAAAAUCCAGGGCUCAACCCUGGACCUGCAUUCGAUACGGGCAGACUAGAGUUCGGUAGGGGAGACUGGAAUUCCUGGUGUAGCGGUGAAAUGCGCAGAUAUCAGGAGGAACACCGGUGGCGAAGGCGGGUCUCUGGGCCGAUACUGACGCUGAGGAGCGAAAGCAUGGGUAGCGAACAGG